rnacentral:rRNA from 1 species
GAUGAACGCUGGCGGCGUGCCUAAUACAUGCAAGUCGAGCGAACGGACGAGAAGCUUGCUUCUCUGAUGUUAGCGGCGGACGGGUGAGUAACACGUGGAUAACCUACCUAUAAGACUGGGAUAACUUCGGGAAACCGGAGCUAAUACCGGAUGAUAUUUUGAACCGCAUGGUUCAAAAGUGAAAGACGGUCUUGCUGUCACUUAUAGAUGGAUCCGCGCUGCAUUAGCUAGUUGGUAAGGUAACGGAUUACCAAGGCAACGAUGCAUAGCCGACCUGAGAGGGUGAUCGGCCACACUGGAACUGAGACACGGUCCAGACUCCUACGGGAGGCAGCAGUAGGGAAUCUUCCGCAAUGGGCGAAAGCCCGACGGAGCAACGCCGCGUGAGUGAUGAAGGUCUUCGGAUCGUAAAACUCUGUUAUUAGGGAAGAACAUAUGUGUAAGUAACUGUGCACAUCUUGACGGUACCUAAUCAGAAAGCCACGGCUAACUACGUG